UUGGCAUAAUACACUUUUUUUUCAUGUUCCUACCUUCUGUCUUUCCUAAGGGGGAAAGGUUCAUAUAAAUAACCUGGACAACACCCUUAAAAAAUUGGGACUUGAGCUCACGGAAGAGGAACUUGCAAAGCUGUCAAAAAAUCUACAAGUUGAUGCUAAUGGAAUGGUUGGUCUGAAAGAGGUGAUGGAUGGAGUAAAAGCUACUACAGGAGGGGAGGUUGAUGUCAAAGAUGUGAAAGCUAUUCUGAAAAACAUGGGAAUAGAGUUCACAGAUAAGGAACGUUUGAAGCUGCUGAAAAAUCUGCCUUUCAAUGAUGAUAACAAGGUCUUUAAAAACAGGUUGCUAGAUGGUGUGAAGUCCCUUAAAGGUGAGUGAGAAACAUAAUAAGAAUACAAAUGAAUAUGAGAUCUUCAUUUUAUACUGUUUCCAAGAUAUGAAUUUGAAUGCUGCCAUCUGUCAUAUGUACUGAUUGCAAAUGUAUGCUUUUUUGGACCUCAAUCUUUAUUUUAGCAGUUGAAUCUGAUGUUCUAUCUUGGAAGUAAAGCACC